rnacentral:misc_RNA from 1 species
GAUGAAGAACGCAGUGAAAUGCGAUAAUUAAUGUGAAUUGCAGAAUUCCGUGAAUCAUCGAGUUUUUGAACGCAUAUUGCGCCCCUUGGUAUUCCGAGGGGCAUGCCUGUCCGAGCGUCAUUGCAACCCUUCAAGCACGGCUUGUGUGUUGGACGGCCGCCCCAGUGUGGGCGGGUCCCAAAUGCAGUGGCGGCGCCGCGAUCCGGGUGCUCGAGUGCAUGGAAACCACGCGCUCGUUAGGCCCCGUCGGGCGCCGGCCGACCUAAUUAUCUUCGUUCUGGUUGACCUCGGAUCAGGUAGGAAUACCCGCUGAACUUAAGCAUAUCAAUAAGCGGAGGA